rnacentral:rRNA from 1 species
UACGUGUGGAGUCAGUGUUAUUCUUCGUGGUUGGGCGUAAAGAAUGUGUAGGUGGUUUAUUUUAUUAUGAUAUACGUUUAUGGGAUAACUGUAAGCGUCAUUUGCUAUAAGACUGAUAGGACUAGAGUUGAGUGGGCGGUAAGCACAAUUUUUGGAUUAGUGGUCAAAUACGGUUGUAAUCUAAAGGGUGUACCAGAGGCGAAAGCGGCUUUCGAUACUUAACUGACACUAAAGCAUGAAAGUAUAGGUUUCGAUUCGG